AUACGUAGGUGGCAAGCGUUAUCCGGAUUUAUUGGGUUUAAAGGGUGCGUAGGCGGAUGAUUAAGCGUGAGGUGAAAUGCCACUGCUCAACAGUGGAACUGCCUCGCGAACUGGUUGUCUUGAAUGCUCCUGCCGUGGGAGGAAUGUGUGGUGUAGCGGUGAAAUGCAUAGAGAUCACACAGAACACCGAUUGCGAAGGCAUCUCACGAAGGGGUGAUUGACGCUGAGGCACGAAAGCGUGGGGAUCAAACAGGAUUAGAUACCCUGGUAGUCCACGCAGUAAACGAUGAUAACUAACCGCUGGGUCGUAGUGAUUCAGUGGCCAAGCGAAAGCGAUAAGUUAUCCACCUGGGGAGUACGACCGCAAGGUUGAAACUUAAAGGAAUUGACGGGG
rnacentral:rRNA from 1 species